rnacentral:rRNA from 1 species
UACGGGGGGAGCAAGCGUUGUUCGGAUUUACUGGGCGUAAAGGGCGCGUAGGCGGCCACCGCAAGUCACUCGUGAAAUCUCCGGGCUUAACUCGGAACGGUCAAGUGAUACUGUCGGGCUAGAGUACAGAAGGGGCAACUGGAAUUCUCGGUGUAGCGGUGAAAUGCGUAGAUAUCGAGAGGAACACCUGCGGCGAAGGCGGGUUGCUGGGCUGAUACUGACGCUGAUGCGCGAAAGCCAGGGGAGCGAACGGG